rnacentral:rRNA from 1 species
UGGGGAAUAUUGCACAAUGGGCGCAAGCCUGAUGCAGCCAUGCCGCGUGUGUGAAGAAGGCCUUCGGGUUGUAAAGCACUUUCAGCGAGGAGGAAGGUGGUGAACUUAAUACGUUCAUCAAUUGACGUUACUCGCAGAAGAAGCACCGGCUAACUCCGUGCCAGCAGCCGCGGUAAUACGGAGGGUGCAAGCGUUAAUCGGAAUUACUGGGCGUAAAGCGCACGCAGGCGGUUUGUUAAGUCAGAUGUGAAAUCCCCGGGCUCAACCUGGGAACUGCAUUUGAAAACUGGCAAGCUAGAGUCUCGUAGAGGGGGGUAGAAUUCCAGGUGUAGCGGUGAAAUGCGUAGAGAUCUGGAGGAAUACCGGUGGCGAAGGCGGCCCCCUGGACGAAGACUGACGCUCAGGUGCGAAAAGCGUGGGGAGCAAAACAGGAUUAGAUACCCUGGUAGUCCACGCUGUAAAACGAUGUCGAUUUUGGAGGUUGUGCCCUUGAGGCGUGGCCUCCGGAGCUAACGCGUUAAA